GAAAUAGGACAUAGCCUUUGUGACGACAACUUGACUCUCAUUGUCUCAGAUGGAGAGGCUGGUACAGUGGAUAGUUGUUGUUUUAAUAAAGCUCUCUCUCCACCGUUAUCUCUUCACACACUCUCCCAGGCUGUGAUCUGAACAUCACAGUCCUCCCCAUCACCAACCAACGUCCCACCAUUCAUCUGGGUGCUUACAAAUGGAUUGUUUAAUCAUUUGUUCCAGUAACUUUCCAGAUAUCGAAGGACACAUGUUCGUAGUGGAUGAGGGAUCUGCAGUAUGUAUCAGUUUGGAAUAUCUGAAUGCCUCAGAAAAGGACGCAGUCUCUGAGGAACUAACCUUCUUCUUGGAGACAAACUCUCAGUAUGGUUACCUAAAAGACACUCUUCCCUCACCUUGCUAUGAAAAAAAUAAUGCUGGAAUCAAUAUAAAUGAGUUACAGAUUUUUUGUGAUGUAUUCCUAAUAAUAAAGGGGCUUAUUGGAGUUUAAUGUGGUAAAAGAUGAUUGGGUAAUGCUUCACAACUGGUUAUAUAAUGAUGAGUAUUGGUAGGUGAGAGAGAGAACAUCUUGAGGAAAUACAGUGCAGCAAGUGGCUUCUAGUUAGCUAAUCAUUAUCUAUUUAAACAGCAUCAGAUCAUAGAAACCUAUUGUUAUCUUGUCCAUCGUUCAGCACACAGUUCUUCACAGUGUAUUCAUGAGUGCUUUGUCUAGUAUUAUUUUCAAUGAUCCACUACUUCCUUGGGAAACUAAUCCACAGGCUACUAGACCUUACUGGUGCUUAUUUGGUCUUAUUAAUAAUAUUUAGAGAUGGGUCUGACCUACAAAGUUUGAGUCUAAAUUUCCCCUAGUUUAUUUUUAAUCUCACCUACUUUGUACAGAGGUUCAUUCAGUCUUCAGAGUCUCUGGGCUGGUUAUAUCAACUAUGUUCUGUCCAAGAAUGAAUGCUCAGAACCCACUGCCAAUCAUUUCAUGAUCUCUGUUUGCGAUGAUCUUCGUAAGUCCACAGUGAUGCCUUUCUACGUUGUCAUCAAUCCAGUUAAUGAUGAAAUCCUGGACCUGCAAUUUGGGAACAUAACGGUAACUUUGAUCUUACUUUCCAAAGGUUAAAAAACACAAACCUCUGAUCUCCCCAGAUGUGCAUUGGGGAAUCUCUGCUAAUUGUGAGGGUACACCUCAUAAGGAUUUAUGGAAAUAUGCUUAAGAAUGUAUAUAUGUCAUAACUGGAAUAUGUUUUAUGCUACAUAUGCCGUGUAACAUAUCUCUGUAAAGGUUAUAAUCUACUGAAUCUAUUUGUAUGCAUGUAUCACUUUUGUAUUCAAAGUUAUGAAUAUUGGCUGUGUACUUGAUUUCUAAGUAGCCUUAGUAAAGCAUUUGGCCAGCUUCUUGAGAAAGGAAUGUGCAAAUUAAGUGCCCCAUUGUUCAUCAAGUAUUUCUUAAUUGAUCUUGGAAGGCUCCAAUCCACAUGUGUAGUUUUCUGGGAGACAUUCAAGAUAGCAUGUGGGCAAUGGCUGCUGCCUGUAAAAAGUGAGUCAUCCAUGGACAUGUGACUUCUUGGAGCUCAACUUUGCAUGGAAGAGAGGAGAGGGUCUCCACCCACAAGAGAGAGUCUAUUUAAGCCCAUGGGGGACCCCUCCAUUUGGUCUUCAGCUGGUUCCACCCCCAAGGAGACAUGAGAAAAAUUGGAACAAAGGACAGUAACUACAGGGGGUAUGAGUGAUUGCUGGACCCAGACUAGAAGGAGACUAGUCUGCAAAAUAAAGCUUACUGGAACACCUCUGAGGGUGAGGUUUUAUCUGUAUUCAGUUUUCUUACUGUAUUAGGCUUAGACUUGUGUGUUGUAUUUUAUUUUACUUGGUAAUUCACUUUGUUCUGUCUGUUACUACUUGGAACCACUUAAA